CAGUAGCCGCGGGAAUACGUAGGUGGCAAGCGUUGUCCGGAAUUAUUGGGCGUAAAGGGCUCGCAGGCGGUUUCUUAAGUCUGAUGUGAAAGCCCCCAGCUCAACCGGGGAGAGUCAUUGGAAACUGGGAAACUUGAGUGCAGAAGAGGAGAGUGGAAUUCCACGUGUAGCGGUGAAUGCGUAGAGAUGUGGAGGAACACCAGUGGCGAAGGCGACUCUCUGGUCUGUAACUGACGCUGAGGAGCGAAAGCGUGGGGAGCGAACAGGAUUAGAUACCCCGGUAGUCCCUGUCUCUUAUACA
rnacentral:rRNA from 1 species